rnacentral:rRNA from 1 species
CAGCAGCCGCGGGAAUACGAAGGGUGCAAGCGUUAAUCGGAAUUACUGGGCGUAAAGCGCGCGUAGGCGGUGAGUUAAGUCUGCUGUGAAAUCCCCGGGCUCAACCUGGGAAUGGCAGUGGAUACUGGCUCGCUAGAGUGUGUCAGAGGAUGGUGGAAUUCCCGGUGUAGCGGUGAAAUGCGUAGAGAUCGGGAGGAACAUCAGUGGCGAAGGCGGCCAUCUGGGACAACACUGACGCUGAGGCACGAAAGCGUGGGGAGCAAACAGGAUUAGAUACCCCCGUAGUCCCUGUCUCUUAUAC